rnacentral:rRNA from 1 species
GGCUCAGGACGAACGCUUGCGGCGUGCCUAAGAAAUGCAAGUCGUGCGGGGAGCUUCGGCUCCUAGCGGCGAACGGUCGCGUAACACGUAAGCAACCUGCCCUCAAGACCGGGACAACAUCUCGAAAGGGGUGCUAAUACCGGAUGUGGCUUUCGGGUGGCAUCACCUGGAAACUAAAUCAGGCAACUGGCUUGGGGAUGGGCUUGCGGCAUAUCAGCUAGUUGGUGGGGUAACGGCCUACCAAGGCGACGACGGGUAGCUGGUCUGAGAGGACGGCCAGCCGGACUGGGACUGAGAUACGGCCCAGACUCCUACGGGGGGCAGCAAUUAGGAAUCUUGCACAAUGGGCGAAAGCCUGAUGCAGCGACGCCGCGUGGGGGAGGAAGUCCUUCGGGAUGUAAACCCCUUUUGUCAGGGAAGAAGAAAAUGACGGUACCUGACGAAUAAGCCCCGGCUAACUACGUGCCAGCAGCCGCGGUAAUACGUAGGGGGCGAGCGUUGUCCGAAGUUACUGGGCGUAAAGCGCGCGUAGGCGGGUCACUAAGUGAGAAGUGAAAGGCUGGGGCUCAACCGCAGCAGGGCUUCUCAUACUGGUGGUCUUGAGGGCGGUAGGGAGAAGUGGAAUGGCUGGUGUAGCGGUGAAAUGCGUAGAUAUCAGUCGGAACACCGGUGGCGAAGGCGGCUUCUUGGGCCGUUCCUGACGCUGAGGCGCGAAAGCCAGGGGAGCGAACGGGAUUAGAUACCCCGGUAGUCCUGGCCGUAAACGAUGGAUACUAGGUGUUGGGGGUAUCGACCCCCCCAGUGCCGCAGCGAACGCAUUAAGUAUCCC